CAUGCACCCAAACCCAAAGUUCAUAUCUGGCAGUGGUAUGAGUUUGUCUGGUGUGCACAUAGGAAGCAGAUCCUUGUCGCCUUUCUGUGGCGCCACAGUGCCUCUGAAAGUGAAUUCAAGGGUCUACACGU
ensembl:snoRNA